AGUCUCAGUUAUUCUGUUUGGAUACUGAAGUCUCCAAAGCAAUGAGGAAUCACCCUUGUGCACCAGAGCACUCCAGUAACAUCAGGCUAAGCUAGGACUUACACACCUGAUGCUCUUCAGCCUCACUGUCAGCCCUGCUGUGUGACAGUAUCUGUUUUUGUGGGUGAAAAUGCAUACUCAGAGCCUGAUUCAGACCACUUGAUCAUGCUUAACUUUCCUUGGUUUCCCUUCUUCCAGCCAUGAUCUCCUAACUCUAGAGGGUCAUCUCAGCUGUUCAUUGUUCUCAUUCCUGCAUUUAUGUCAGGUACCUUCAUAAGCAGCCUGCAUGUGGUCUGUGUGUAUGUAUUGGUCUUAAAAUAUUGCAUUAUCAAUUUAAUGGCUAAAAAGUAAAACAAAAUAGAAAAAUUACAGAGGCAAUUGGCAAUCGAUAGAAUACUCUGGAAAUACUGGAGGAAAAUCAUUAGUGAUAUCUGAAAACUCAGAUGGAGAAUUUCAGAUGGUUGCCUUCAUUUGAAUAAUACAUGGAUAGGAAUUCAGCACUGAGACUCCUCAAACUAAAAGUGAACAAUUCUUAGUGAAGACAACACCCAUUCAGAAACAGCAAAGCAAACUGUAAGAAGAAGGAAAGCUCUGGGAGUGUGAAAUCUCAGCUAAAAACAACACUGCAGUCAAGGAAAUGAGCAGUCUGGCUCCUUGAGUCCCCGCAGUGAUCCUGAGUGACCAUUUUGUACUGGGGAAAGACACAGUGAAACAAAGAGUUACGCCUGGAGGAGACUCUGGUCUGCAAACUGCAUUACAAAAGCUUUUCUUGCCACCUGCUUUUGAGACUGUGCACCGGGAAAGAACCCCUCCAGCCCAGUAUUCUGAAGUCAAACUGGUGCUUUCCACACUGCUCUCUGCACCUCUGGCACCUUGCAGAAAGAUAAAGAUUGCUUGUGAGCUGUUCACUGUGACAGUUACAUCUUUUAAAUUUGGACCUGGCUGCAAUGGGAUGGAAAAACUGAAGUUUCUUUUGCCCUGGGGCAGGAUCCACCCAACUCUUUGCCAGUGAGAAACGCCAUCGAGUCUGCAUGACCAACGCUGGAAACUUGCUGCUGUCCUUGGUGCACAUCCCCAGCUGGGACAACUCCCUGCACUGAAAGGCAGAGGUUCAGUGCACGAAAGCAGUAAGUGCCUUUAGCCAGCACUUUCUGAUCCCUCACCCAGCCCCACCCAUCAC
ensembl:lncRNA